rnacentral:rRNA from 1 species
AUGACGAGGCUCGUUGGCAUUGAUGGCCCAAAGGAUAAACUCAUCAAGUUGCUAACUGAAGGGGAAGUUGCAAUUGCACAGCAGCUAAAGGUAGUGUCCAUUGUUGGAAUUGGGGGCCUUGGAAAGACUACUCUUGCUAAUCAAGUGUACCAGAAGCUGGAAGGGCAAUUUGAAUGUCAAGCUUUCAUGUCGGUGUCCCAAAAACCCGACUUGAAGAGGAUUUUCAGAAAUAUACUCUCUCAGAUCUGCUGUCAAGAGUGUGUCAGCAACGAAGAAUGGGAUGAGCAGCAACUCAUCAACACAAUAAGACAGUUCCUCAAGCAUAAAAGGUACUUCAUAGUAAUGGAUGAUAUAUGGGGCACCCCAGCAUGGAGAGCAAUCAAAUGUGCUUUUCCUGAAAAUAGUUCUUCCAGCAGAAUACUGACAACUACACGUAUCGUCACAGUAGCCAAGUAUUGUAGCUCUCAGAACCGUGAUCAUGUGUAUGAAAUAAAGCCUCUUAGUGCAACUCACUCUAAGAGCUUAUUUUUCAAACGAGCAUUUGGCUGUGAAGGUGGAUGCCCUCUUGAACUGAGGGAAGUUUUAGAUGAAAUAUUAAAAAAAUGUGGCGGCUUGCCGUUGGCAAUCAUUACAGUAGCUAGCUUAUUGGCAAAUAAAGCUAGUACCAGACAAGAAUAG